GGAUUGUGGCUCAGUGGUAGAGUGCUUGCCUAGCAUGCGUGGGGCCCUGGGUUCGAUCUUCAGCACCA
rnacentral:tRNA from 1 species